UCUGAGAGGAGCAGUCAGCUCUGAGAUGGACGCUCUCUCCGGCUGCAUCAGCAAGCUGUAACUGGACCUCUGGCAGGCGUGCACACACCGGCAGACUCACUCCGCUUCCGCAUCGCUCUCCCUUCUCCAUCUCUGUGUCUCUAUCCCUCCCUACUCUCUCCGCUGGUGGAUUUUAGCCCACUGCUGUGUGGAACACCG